AUUGAACGCUGGCGGAAUGCUUUACACAUGCAAGUCGAACGGUAGAGGGGGCAACCCCUUGAGAGUGGCGAACGGGUGAGUAAUAUAUCGGAACGUGCCCAGUCGUGGGGAUAACGUAGCGAAAGCUACGCUAAUACCGCAUACGAUCUAUGGAUGAAAGCGGGGGAUCGCAAGACCUCGCGCGAUUGGAGCGGCCGAUAUCAGAUUAGGUAGUUGGUGAGGUAAAGGCUCACCAAGCCGACGAUCUGUAGCUGGUCUGAGAGGACGACCAGCCACACUGGGACUGAGACACGGCCCAGACUCCUACGGGAGGCAGCAGUGGGGAAUUUUGGACAAUGGCGCAAGCCUGAUCCAGCAAUGCCGCGUGCAGGAUGAA
rnacentral:rRNA from 1 species